AUGCUUACUUCAGCAGCACAUAUUCUAAAAUUGGAACAAUACAGAGAAGAUGAGUAUGGCCUCUCUUCAAGGAUGACACGCAAAUUCAUGAAGUCUUCCAUAUUUUA